rnacentral:rRNA from 1 species
UACGUAGGGUGCGAGCGUUGUCCGGAAUUAUUGGGCGUAAAGGGCUCGUAGUCGGUCUGUCGCGUCGGGAGUGAAAACUCAGGGCUUAACCCUGAGCCUGCUUCCGAUACGGGCAGACUAGAGGUAUGCAGGGGAGAACGGAAUUCCUGGUGUAGCGGUGGAAUGCGCAGAUAUCAGGAGGAACACCGGUGGCGAAGGCGGUUCUCUGGGACGGUACUGACGCUGAGACGCGAAAGCGUGGGGAGCGAACAGG